UCCCUCGGAGCUCAGUCAGUAAAGAAUCUGCCUGCAAUGCAGGAGACCCAGGUUCAAUUCCUGGGUGGGGAA
rnacentral:tRNA from 1 species